CGCCGUCCGAGGAGGUUACCUUAGCCAUUGGCUUAUGGCGGGGCACUUUCUCUUUCUUUCCUCACAUUUUUCAAUGUCUGGUGUCAGUGGUGUGAGCUUCUUCAUUGCAUUACGUGCACGUGGUCGCUGCCUCGUCAUGAAGAGAGUCUACUAUUUUGCAAGACAAAUAAGAUGAAAAGAGGAAAUUUGAAAAGGUAGAUUUCCUUGUUCAGUUUAUGAACUGUUAAUGGUGUUGUCUGGUGUUCAGUUUAGAGAUGCCUUGAGAUGGAUGAUCAACUGCUGCUGAGCCUUAUCAUCGUCUUUUUGGACGUGGAGAAUGGAGACGCUGUCCCGAGUACGUUAAGCUUGGCCAUUGCAGGCAACCUUCUCUCUUGACAUGUGAACUCACAGGGAAAUGGUUUGUAACUUAAACUUGAAUGGUUAUUUGCUAAUGUCUGGUGGAGUUUAAAAGCUUCUUAGUUCUUUAUUGCGUUACGUGUACGUGAUCGUUGCCGUUUGAUGAAGGUUCUCUAAGAGGGUCUCUACUACAUUGCAAGACAACACCGUGAUGGAAAUAGGAAAUCUAAAAUGAAGAAGUAAUAAUUUAAAUUAUGGAAAUCUUAAGUGUAUGAUCGCCUUAUCUGUCAAGUUUCCAUGGUGAGCUGGUUUGUUGUGGCUGUUUGGUGUGCAGUGAUUUUCCAGGAGAAAUGCGUUAAAAAGGGAUUAAGUGCCGCAACAAGUUGGCAAUAUGGCAAUCUUAUGCUACUGAGCCUGACGCCGUCUUCUAGGGAAACUGUCAGUUACAUUGUUCGUGCGGUCAACUUCAAAAUUCUUCACAAAUAUCUCAAAGGAUUAAUGGUUUGGUAAGACUGAGCUUUUUCAUGGUGGUUGAAAGUCGACAUAGAGCCAACUGGUGAAUGGUGUGGGGAAGUGCUGCAUGCCAUCUGUGGUGUUGGUUUCCAUUGUCAGUUAGAUGUAUCAGCUAAUUUUUCUGUUACUCUUUGGUGUGCAGUUUAUUUUUGGGUGGUUUUGUUGCAGGCAGCUGGUAAGAGGGAGUUCAAGUCGAGUUGAGCUGAAGGUUAAUGAACCAGUCGAUAAUGCUGGUGUCAAAAGUUAAAUAUCAAUGAAGACAUCUUGAAAUGGACUCGGUGACAAUGUGAUUUUCAAUCUGCUGCAUGUAGUUUUUGUUAUCAAAAAGUGGAGAAGUAAGACUGGAAGCAAAGCUGCAAGAAAAGGAAAUGAUUAACUCCAAACUGAUGUAGG